GAUGAACGCUGGCGGCGUGCUUAACACAUGCAAGUCGAACGGAAAGGCCCGGCUCUUGUUGGGUGCUUGAUUGGCGAACGGGUGAGUAACACGUGAGUAACCUGCCCUUGACUUUGUGAUAACUUCAGGAAACUGGGGCUCAUACCGGAUAUGAUCUCUUGCUGCACGUGGGUGGUUGGUAAGUGUCGGCGGUGGGGGAUGGACUCGCGGGUUAUCAGCUUGUUUGGGUGGUAGUUGCGUACCAGGGCUUUGACGGGUAGCCGGCCUGGGAGGGUUACCGGGCACAUUGGGACUGAGAUAGGGCGCAGACUGCUACGGGCGGCAGCAGUGGGAAAUAUUGCAGAAUGGGGGGAAGCCUGAGACAACGACGCCGGGAGCGGAAAGACGGGCUUCGGGUGGUAAACCGAUUUGGAAUGUGACGAAGCGUGAGUGACGGUAAUGGGUAAAGAAGCAACGGCUAACUACGUG
rnacentral:rRNA from 1 species